CGGGUGAGUAUAAUGUGGGAAUCUGCCUUUUGGUUCGGAAUAACACGGGGAAACUUGUGCUAAUACCGAAUAAGCCCUUACGGGGAAAGUUUUAACGCCGAAAGAUGAGCCCGCACUUGAUUAGCUAGUUGGUAAGGUAAAAGCUUACCAAGGCAAUGAUCAAUAGCUGUUCUUAGAGGAAGACCAGCCACAUUGGGACUGAGACACGGCCCAGACUCCUACGGGAGGCAGCAGUGGGGAAUCUUGCACAAUGGGGGAAACCCUGAUGCAGCGAUGCCGCGUGAGUGAAGAAGGCCUUUGGGUUGUAAAACUCUUUCGUCGGGGAAGAAAAUGACUGUACCCGAAUAAGAAGGUCCGGCUAACUUCGUGCCAGCAGCCGCGGUAAUACGAAGGGACCUAGCGUAGUUCGGAAUUACUGGGCUUAAA
rnacentral:rRNA from 1 species